rnacentral:rRNA from 1 species
GACGAACGCUGGCGGCGUGCUUAACACAUGCAAGUCGAACGGAAAGGCCCUGCUUUUGUGGGGUGCUCGAGUGGCGAACGGGUGAGUAACACGUGAGUAACCUGCCCUUGACUUUGGGAUAACUUCAGGAAACUGGGGCUAAUACCGGAUAGGAGCUCCUGCUGCAUGGUGGGGGUUGGAAAGUUUCGGCGGUUGGGGAUGGACUCGCGGCUUAUCAGCUUGUUGGUGGGGUAGUGGCUUACCAAGGCUUUGACGGGUAGCCGGCCUGAGAGGGUGACCGGCCACAUUGGGACUGAGAUACGGCCCAGAGUCCUACGGGAGGCAGCAGUGGGGAAUAUUGCACCAUGGGCGGAAGCCUGGUGCAGCAACGCCGCGUGGGGGAUGACGGCCUUCGGGUUGUAAACCGCUUUCGCCUGUGACGAAGCGUGAGUGACGGUAAUGGGUAAAGAAGCACCGGCUAACUACGUG